CUCAGCGUAAUGGGAUUUCCACAACAUUUUAUCUCCCUCGUCUCUAACACUCUAACUGCAUCAAAUCUGCAUCUUUCACGGUCUUGGUGAAAGAAACUACCACUUGUACAUUAAAAAAUCAAAGAGGGCUAUGCAAGGUGAUCCCAUGCCCCCAAUCUUCUUCAAUCUGGUUAUGGACUCAUCCACAAAGGGGUGGAUGAUGGGAGAAUAGACACAUACCAGAUCAAUGAUGCAAAAUCUAUCUCGCAUUUGAUAUAUGUAGCUGAUGGUACCCCCAAGUCACCAGCCCAGGCCCACAAAGGAGUCCAGAAGCAAGGCCCAGCGAGAUGGAUGAAAGAAGAAAGCCCAAGUCGUCCCAAUGACACUCGCCCGAUCAAACCGGCCGAGCGGACCCGUCAACCCCACGAACACUCGCCCG
rnacentral:lncRNA from 1 species